rnacentral:lncRNA from 1 species
AGCGCUGAGCCAGAACUGUGCUUGGUCCAUAGGAGGCUGACCAGCGGCAACAGAGCCUGAUUUCUGAGUUAUCGCUGAGGAUGAAACUGACGUGGAGGGUACGGUGAAUGGUGUCACACAAACAAGCACUGGAAAACGAUCCACUGGAAACUAGGCCAGGAGCAGCAGCCCUUCCUUGUGGCCAGGACCUCAAGACAGGAGAAUCUCAGAGCAGCAGCACUGAACCUCUGCCUAUAGAGGCCUCUGACUGCUUGACAACAGCAAAACCAUAUGAUGACACCUGUACAUGGAGAAAGGUCACGGUGGACAGCUGUGGGCAGUCAAAUGUAGCACCCAAAUGUGGGUGGAAGUUUUCUGUCCACAGGUAGAUGACUUGCCUAUUCUGACUCAGGCAGGGUAAGACACUUGGACUCUCCUUGCAGUGCUAAACUCUAAUUUGGAAUCAAAUAUGGUGGACAUCUUAGUUAAAGAAUUAAAGACCAUGCUUACAGCUUAAAAAUGAAGCCUUAAGCUGCACCAAGUUGUGAAGUGAUUAAUGUUCCUCACAGUAAAACUCCAGAGACUCCAGAAUAAGUCCUUCCUGACAGAUGAUCUUUAGGAGCCAGAAGCUACAAACCCCUCCAGCAUCAUCCUCCCCCCAGCAGGCUCUGUUAAGGCCUCAGUUGCUCCUCUUGUGUUUUUAGUUCCUCAAGGUACCAAACAGCUGGAAAGUGAGUGCUGGGGCCUGCGGAAGCAUACCUGAAGGGUAGACAGUCCUUCUUAUCCCACCUGAGAUGGCUACUUGUCUGUCUGCUGAGUUCUGCUGUAGCAGCCUGGUGUGGCAGGGACUUCUACUCUUCUGUUGAGCUAUUGCCACCAUAGCCAGGCCAGGCAGACUUCAGCUGGUAGGGGUCCUAGAGCUGCUUCAAUUGAGGGCUUUGUUCUCCCCACUUACACUGUUGACAUCUAUUUUCCAAAGUGUGUUUAGAUUGCUCAUUGCUAAGAAUCAUUGUCUUUUCCUGUGUUAAUGUUUGUUUAAGUGAGGAAAGCACAGUGUAAGCUGGUAAAGGCUCCUCACUGUGCACCAGAGCAAAUGGCCUAUCCCCAGCCUCUGCUGAUAGCAUGUUGCAAUGUCCAUGUGUUUCAGGGUCCUUGAGCUAGCAUAAGACAGGUUAAUGAAGAAUAUUUCUUAGUAGUUCCUUUUUGUUUUCCUUUUCAAUUUACAAAAGUAAAGCAUUUAUUAAUGUCUGACUUAAGAAUGUAAAAUGAUUCUGUAUCAAUGUAAAUAAGAUUAUCUACUGCAAAAGAUAUUUAAAACCUUAAUUGUGGUCAUUUCUUUUUUGAAAAAAUUCAAAAGUUCACCUUCUGCAGGUGGCUCUGCAGAGGGUGGCUGGAGAGUCAGCUGCCUUUACCCUCAAGGUCAUGCCUACUCCCCCACCCCCUAGCUUGCUGAAUCCAGGGCACUGACCCACACUGCAUGCUCAGAGCAGGCAGGCAGUAAAUAUUUUAUUGAACAAAACAUUGGGGGAGUAUUCCAAGUUUGCAGAAUGUCACUGUUGAGCCUUUUUUAUCCAUCAGCUCUUUCCCAAUCUUUUCUCCACCCAGUCCAGUGAACACUCUCUCACCUCUCCCUGCUCAGUCCAGAACACCAGGCAGGGUAUGUGUAAGCCAGGCAUCAGAGCUCUGCUUGGAGCCCAGACUAGUUAAGCUAAAAUUUUAAUGUAAAAAAUGCAAAGACUCUGAAAAUAAUUCAGGAAGAAAAAAAUAUCAAUAGAGGGCAUAGUAUGUGUAGAUCCUAGUGAGCCCAUGCUCAUCUUAUAGCAGGGAGGAGGAUCAAAAGAAAACAGACGAGGCCUGAGUUCUGAUAAAGUAGCAGGGAGGUAGGGAUGGAAAACCAGGGAGAUAAAACCUGAGGAAUCUGAAUGUGGAGAGGGUCACAUAACACUUGGGAGGGGGAAAGUUACAUAACACUAGGGUAAAGUAGCCUAUAGAAUUGAAUAUAACCAUAUAUGGAUUAGAUCUUGCUUUUUGCUUCUGUAACCUGCUUGCAAGGUGAGACCCCUUCGUUCUCAGGGCUCAGUCUUUGGAUACGAGUCUGCUGGGUCUGUGCCAGCACAAUAAAAUGUUGCUUCCUGCUAAACUGCCUCA